rnacentral:rRNA from 1 species
GAUGAACGCUGACAGAAUGCUUAACACAUGCAAGUCUUUGGCGAAUCUGUGCUUGCACAGGUAGCCAAGGCGGACGGGUGAGUAACGCGUAAAGAACUUGCCCUGCAGACAGGGAUAACAGACGGAAACGACUGACAACACCUGAUACAGUUGCCGGCACGCAUGUGUCUGGCAAUGAAAAGAGAUGCUGCGGGAGAGCUUUGCGUCCUAUUAGCUUGUUGGCGGGGUAACGGCCCACCAAGGCGAUGAUAGGUAGCCGGCCUGAGAGGGUGGACGGCCACAAGGGGACUGAGAUACGGCCCUUACUCCUACGGGAGGCAGCAGUGGGGAAUAUUGGACAAUGGGGGCAACCCUGAUCCAGCAAUUCUGUGUGCACGAUGAAGGUUUUCGGAUUGUAAAGUGCUUUCAGCAGGGAAGAAGGAAGUGACGUACCUGCAGAAGAGCGACGGCUAAUACA